AGCAGCCGCGGUAAUUCCAGCUCCAAUAGCGUAUAUUAAAGUUGUUGCAGUUAAAAAGCUCGUAGUUGAAUUUCGGGAUUAGUACGUUGGUCGUGCCUUAGGUACGUACUGGUGUUACUGGUUCCUACCUUCUGACGAACCAUCAUGUCAUUAAUUUGGUGUGGCGGGGAAUCAGGACUGUUACUUUGAAAAAUUAGAGUGUUUAAAGCAGGCUCGCGCUUGAAUACAUUAGCAUGGAAUAAUGAAAUAGGACGUCGACCCUAUUUUGUUGGUUUCUAGGAUUGACGUAAUGAUUAAUAGGGAUAGUUGGGGGCAUUAGUAUUCAAUUGUCAGAGGUGAAAUUCUUGGAUUUAUUGAAGACUAACUACUGCGAAAGCAUUUGCCAAGGAUGUUUUCAUUAAUCAAGAACGAAAGUUAGGGGAUCGAAGACGAUCAGAUACCGUCGUAGUCCUAACCAUAAACUAU
rnacentral:rRNA from 1 species